AUUGAACGCUGGCGGCAUGCUUUACACAUGCAAGUCGAACGGUAACAGGCCGCAAGGUGCUGACGAGUGGCGAACGGGUGAGUAAUGCAUCGGAACGUGCCCAGUCGUGGGGGAUAACGCAGCGAAAGCUGCGCUAAUACCGCAUACGAUCUAUGGAUGAAAGCGGGGGACCGUAAGGCCUCGCGCGAUUGGAGCGGCCGAUGUCAGAUUAGGUAGUUGGUGGGGUAAAGGCUCACCAAGCCAACGGUCUGUAGCUGGUCUGAGAGGACGACCAGCCACACUGGGGCUGAGACACGGCCCAGACUCCUACGGGAGGCAGCAGUGGGGAAUUUUGGACAAUGGGCGCAAGCCUGAUCCAGCAAUGCCGCGUGCAGGAAGAAGGCCUUCGGGUUGUAAACUGCUUUUGUACGGAGCGAAACGGCUUCCACUAAUACUGGGGGCUAAUGACGGUACCGUAAGAAUAAGCACCGGCUAACUACGUGCCAGCCGCCGCAGUAACAC
rnacentral:rRNA from 1 species